rnacentral:lncRNA from 1 species
UUGCUCGUAGAUGUACGCUCUACAAGACUUCAACUUGCUCGAGGAUACCUCACCUCAAGACUUCACCUUGAUCGUGGAUACCGCACCACAAGACUUCACACACUAAGAUUGAAGGUACUUAGCAAACCCGACAAUCAAUGAGAAGAUAUGGUCUUCUCAAGAAUCUUUCUCUUUUACAACAAGAACUCUCUAAGAAGAGUCGAUAAAGAGAUAUAAUAUUAGCUCUAUGA